CCUGAACGCCGGGAGCUUUGCGCAGAUUCUAAGGCUCCCACUUCCCGACCUGCAAGUCUCGGUGGCCAGGCCUCGGUUUGCACCUUCUGCUCCUCAGAGCGCAGGCCUUGGGUCCCCUCCAGGCUCUUCCUCUUCAGCCCUACCCGUCUCGGAGCUCGGUGCCCUCUGCAGCAACCUCCUCCCGACCUCCUCCAAACCCUCCCUCUGAGCUCCAGGGCAGGUUUCAGCGUCUCCCCACAGCAGCUAAGGGACAGGAGUAGGGAACGAGCUACUGCCUUCCCAGCACCUCUGCAUCCCGUAGAGAAGAUGGCAGGUGACCUGGGUCAUCACACAGGAGCAACCAUCAGGGUGCAAGGCCCUUACCAUUUUCACCGUCAGAGGACAGGGUUCACCACCACACACACACACACACCCCACCCCACCCCCAACAGAAAAGCGAGGAAACCGGUACUUCAGCUGUUGUUUAUUGACACAGGUAGGCUCUAUAGCAAUAGGCUGGGAGGUGGCUGCAGUAGUGGGGAAAAUGGAGGGUGGGGGGCGUGUUUGCCUGCAACAGCUGAGUGGAGUGUAGGAACACAAGUGCACAAUGCACGACAAGGGGAGCCUGAGGGGGAUGGGGGAGCAAGGAAGGGCCCGGGCCAGUCUCCUUAAACUGGAACCACUGCCCUAUGCCACAACUCUUGCUGGCGGUCUCUCGAUGCCAGGCCAGGGGUGGGAGUUGUCUGGG